rnacentral:rRNA from 1 species
AUUGAACGCUGGCGGCAGGCUUAACACAUGCAAGUCGAGCGAGCGGCGGACGGGUGAGUAAUGUAUGGGGACUGCCCGAUAGAGGGGGAUAACUACUGGAAACGGUGGCUAAUACCGCAUACUAUCGGAUAACCCAUAUGGGAUUAGCUAGUAGGGGGGGUAAAGGCGCACCUAGGCGACGAUCUCUAGCUGGUCUGAGAGGAUGAUAAGCCACACUGGGACGGAGAAACGGCCCAGACUCCGACGGAGGCAGCAGUGGGGAAUAUUGCACAAUGGGCGCAAGCCUGAUGCAGCCAUGCCGCGUGUAUGAAGAAGGCCUUCGGGUUGUAAAGUACUUUCAGUCGGGAGGCGUUACCGACAGAAGAAGCACCGGCUAACUCCGUGCCAGCCGCCGCGGUAAUAC